CCUACGGGAGGCUGCAGUGGGGAAUAUUGGACAAUGGGCGAAAGCCUGAUCCAGCCAUGCCGCGUGUGUGAAAAAGGCCUUCGGGUUGUAAAGCACUUUCAGUGGGGAAGAAAGCCUUGGGGCUAAUACCCUCGAGGAAGGACAUCACCCACAGAAGAAGCACCGGCUAACUCCGUGCCAGCAGCCGCGGUAAUACGGAGGGUGCGAGCGUUAAUCGGAAUUACUGGGCGUAAAGCGCGCGUAGGCGGUCUGAUAAGCCGGUUGUGAAAGCCCCGGGCUCAACCUGGGAACGGCAUCCGGAACUGUCAGGCUAGAGUGCAGGAGAGGAAGGUAGAAUUCCCGGUGUAGCGGUGAAAUGCGUAGAGAUCGGGAGGAAUACCAGUGGCGAAGGCGGCCUUCUAGACUGACACUGACGCUGAGGUGCGAAAGCGUGGGUAGCAAACAGGAUUAGAUACCCCUGUAGUC
rnacentral:rRNA from 1 species